AGAGCAGCCGCUCUAGGCAGCCGGAGGUCGCACGGGGUUGAGAGCAUAAAGAGGUCUCUCCUCUAUGGUUGCGGGAGCUGAUCGUAGUCGGCCCCUAGGCCCAGGUUAUUUCCGGAAGCGAAGCCUUGUCCUCUACUUCCGCGGGGUCCUGGCAGGUGGCGGUGACAGAGUGGGUACCAGGACUAGUGGCGAGCACAUGCCAACGAGACCUCUAACUGCUCCUGUGGCAGCCUGCGUACCAGCAUCCUGGAACCUGGAACCAUCAAUUUACACUGAAGUUCACAUCUCCUAGAGUCUAGCCUAUCUAGUGUGCAAGUGAAUUUUGAGGCUAGUAUCUCAGUGGCCAUCAAAGAACUGCUAGGAUUGUCUUGGUGAACUUGUGGCGAGCCCAACCUUCCAUGCUUCAUAUCCCGGUCAUCCUUGGUCACCGUCCAGGAUCAGUGUACAGAAGAGACAAGAUGUGGCCUAACAGAUCAUAUGAUGAAGUACCUCAGAAUGUCUCCAGUGAUGAAUCUACCCUGAGGAAAACAAGAGGUGAUCUUUCUGCAAGCCAACAGCAUGAGUGCGGGGAUGAGAAAGAUGACUUUAGAAGAAACUGUUCCUCUUCUUCCCAUUACUCAGAACAGCAGUCUCCCCAUAAAGGGGCUUCUUGUUUUUCCAGAAAAUCAGGUAUAGAUCAGAAGAACUCCCCACACAGCAGAUCUGGAUCCAGUGGAAGCCAUUCUCCAAAACAAAGCAAACUGCAUUCUUCCCAUGGGUCAGAGCUUAGGAAGUCCGAGCAUGCUCAUUCCUCCUACAAACGGCACAGUGAAGAAAAGCCAGAAGGAGGUAAAAAGAGGGCUGGCCAGUCUUUGAAAACAUCAAGAGACACACACCCAAAAAGUUCUUCAGCAGUUCCUUCGUCAGAAAGUUUAAACAAACUCAAAAGGCUUGAUGAAAAGGGACGUCCUAAAGCUGCAAGCAGGCAAGCUGUAGAAAAGCCAAUGAUGGCAGAUGAAAGUGACUUACCUAAAAUUUCUGAGUUUGAAGUUGGAUUCUCAGAACUUAUGGAUCAGCCACAAGAACCUGGGUCAAACAAAAAAGAUCAUACAGAAUUCAUUGAUGACCAAGUAACCAAUCGCCGUAAAGCAAUAGUGUCAAAGACCAAGGAAAUUGAACAAGCCUACUACCAAGACUGUGAGACCUUCGGAAUGGUGGUGAAAAUGCUGGUUGAAAAAGACGCUUCAUUAGAAAGGCCCAUUCAGUUUGCGCUCCGGCAGAAUUUACAUGAACUAAGUGAGCGCUGUGUGGAGGAGCUCAGGCAGUUCAUUGCAGAUUAUGAUGCUGCUGCUUCCUAAGGACUGGUGCUCUAGCAGAAAGUCUAUCUUGAUUGUCAUUCCAGAAUUGUAUAAAUGCUUCAUAUGUGGCGUUUUUGUGAUGAAAUAACCUCAGUUAAACAUCUAGGAAACAUCUGAAAUGGUCAGCUUAAAAUCAUCUUCAGAAAUGUUUCCACUAUGGAACCUCAUGAUUCAUACACUCACCAGUGUGUGUCUUAGCCUGCUGGGGAGGCUUACUUACUCAUGCUCUGUAGUCUUCCAAGUAGAUGAAUGUAUGGCUCAGUGUACUUUACAGUUAGAUUGAACUUCAUAGUAAAUGGUAGCAUGUAAAAAUGUUAGGAUUCGAGUUGUGGUUUUUAUUGGCUUUUGUUUUCUUAGGCUUUGUUGCUUUUAUUAAAAUCAUCCUACAUUAAAGUAUGUUUUCUUAAUAAA